CAGUAGCCACGGUAAUACGAAGGGUGCAAGCGUUAAUCGGAAUUACUGGGCGUAAAGCGUGCGUAGGCGGUGAGUUAAGUCUGCUGUGAAAUCCCCGGGCUCAACCUGGGAAUGGCAGUGGAUACUGGCUCGCUAGAGUGUGUCAGAGGAUGGUGGAAUUCCCGGUGUAGCGGUGAAAUGCGUAGAGAUCGGGAGGAACAUCAGUGGCGAAGGCGGCCAUCUGGGCCAAUACUGACGCUCAUGCACGAAAGCGGGGGGAGCAAACAGGAUUAGAUACCCGGGUAGUCCCUGUCUCUUAUAC
rnacentral:rRNA from 1 species